UCCAAUGUAGAGGAAUGUGGGUACUCCAUGAUUAUAUCGUCAAUUGCUGUGACAAUCCACUGGACCUACAGCACCCAGGACCCUCUGGUAAGACAAAAAUUUUGUUCUUACACUAUUUAAAUGAGUAAUGGUACGGUUCAGUUACAACUAAUCUACGGUACAAUUUCUCAGGUUUUUCUUGUACUGGGCAAGUUAGUUGUGUGGUUGCUACUCAUAGUUCCUUAUGCUGUUGUCAAACUCCUCCUGCAAGUUCCUUCUGGCAUUACCAAACUCAUAAGGUCAGUAACCAGAAACUGAAACUGUAACAAAUGUUAUCUUUCUGUCUAUAAGUGGGAAUUAAAUAUGUUAUACUUAUUGACCAGUACUUUGCGUGGCCUGAUCUGUAAUGAUGGAAAUCCUCUAAAGUGUUUUCUGUUGGAACAGAAGAGUGCUCACGAGAUAACAUGGUAUGACCAGUUCAUACUAUACUUUUCUUCCUCUUGAUAUGACAUUUAUUUGUAUGUUGACAUGAUAUUUUUUCAGGUGUAAUGAAUUAUCAACCACUGCGUAGCUUAUCAGGCUGGCCAAAGAUGCGGUAAUUAUUCAACCAUUGAUUUUUUUCUUUUUCCAAAAUGAUGAUCAAUACUGAAUGUCUUCUUCUCUCUCAGCAAUAACAUGUUACUAAUUGGGUUUUGUUUCGUUCUACAGGAUACAAAAGGUUACUGGAGCCAGAGCAACUUAUACAAUAGCAUGCCAUACUGCCUAAAGAGAGGUUACUGGAGAUGGAGCGACUUGUACAGUAGCGUGCCCUUACUGCUCAAAAGUAUAGAGAGAAUGAAGUAGUUAAUCGGCUCGAUAGGACUAUUGUUGAUUCUGUAUUUGGGGCUUUUCAUGGUCCUUUUCUGCUCUGUCGGACAGGGAGAGUACUCGGUGGCACUAGGCAGAAUGAUAAACUAGUGUUUGGCACAUGUAGGAUCUUUGCAAUUCUAUCUCAAAGGUUGACAAUUGACAUGAUAGUAUUAGAUGUGACAGUGGAUAGUUCUUGACAAGAUACAAGUAGCAUGUAGAGCCUUAUUCAAACUUAUGUUGCUCUGUCACCAAUCUGCAGUCUAAAUUGGCAGGAAGGCCUCAAAAAAAAAAAGAACAGACGAUAGAGCACUAGAUUAUUAAUGUUACCAUUAGAAUUUGAAGGGAACAGACAAUAGAGUGGUUUUUGGAUCCUUUCUGCUUGAGGCAAUUGAUGGAUGGACUGAGCUUCCGUCCAUGGUGGAUCUAUAGGGAGAAGAGCUCCAGUAGGUAGGCAAGGCGGAAAAUAAUCACUCUGAGAAAGCAAGUACUCUUGCUUACACCAACUAGACAAGAUUCAGGGAACGAGGCAUUCGCUCCAGUGUGCAUGUGCUGUAUGAUGUGACUUGGUGCAUGAGUUCAGGUCCAGCGACUUGUUAUUCGAAGGUUGAGGCAAUCAAAAAAAAAAUCAGGAAAAAGUACCAACAAAAGUCAGGAAAUAUUCAGAGUACUAACCGUCCCCCAGCACUGGGGUACUCCAACUAAUCCUUUGCGAUUGAUCAGACACUGCUAGUCCUUUGCAAUUUGCAAAUCAAUAAAAAAAAUAAAACCAGAACUGGGAUUCAAUGCAAGGUUGCCUGCUAGCUUGUGUAGGAUGCAUAUACCAUAUAGCACCCACAAACUAAACUAAUUAACCCAAGAGAUCAUAUCGAUGAAGUAAACUAGAGUGGUCUACACUAGCUUAAUCCGAAGAGGGUAGCAAUUC
rnacentral:lncRNA from 1 species